ACUGCUUUUAUACGGGAAGAAUAAUCACGACGUGUCGUGGGAUGACGGUACCGUAAGAAUAAGGACCGGCUAACUCCGUGCCAGCAGCCGCGGUAAUACGGAGGGUCCGAGCGUUAUCCGGAAUUAUUGGGUUUAAAGGGUCCGCAGGCGGGCUGAUAAGUCAGGGGUGAAAUGGUGCGGCUCAACCGUAGCACUGCCCUUGAUACUGUUAGUCUUGAGUAAUGGUGGAGUGGCCGGAAUAUGUAGUGUAGCGGUGAAAUGCAUAGAUAUUACAUAGAACACCGAUCGCGAAGGCAGGUCACUAACCAUUUACUGACGCUGAUGGACGAAAGCGUGGGGAGCGAACAGGAUUA
rnacentral:rRNA from 1 species